UUAUCACCUCUCCUUGUAACAACAACAACAACCAAAAAUAGAGAGAGAAAGUGGAAGUGUUGUUUAGAGUAGAAAAAAUAACAGACAACACAAAAAGCACGUGACCGUCCAUCAAAAAGAAGAAGAGCUUAUCUAGUUGUCAACGUGUUAUAUAGUACUAGUACCUUAAAAUAAUGUGCUGUCUCAUUACUUAAGAGAGAAGAAGAAACCAAAUAUUGAAUUUGUUUCAAGACUUUAGCCACUCUGAUGGCGUCCUAGUCAGAACGCAACAAAAAGAAACCAAACCAAUUUCAGUUGAAGAUAUGGGAAGUUUAGCUAUGAAUCCAUUAUUUAGAAGUGAAUCUUUUGGAUAUUAUAACAACUUCCCUGACCAGAACUACACGAUGAUGGAGAAGAGACAGUUGUUCCUAAGAAGCUACCAGUUCUGUAGAAAGAAGAGUCUGACAGAGAGAAUCAAAGGCUCUUUAAUCCGUGCUAAGAAAGUUGUUUGGUUAAAGCUAAGGCAUGCUCGUGGAUUAAGAAAGUUGGUGUUUUUUCCCAGGUUUAAAUGCGGUUUUUAUUACCGUAGAAGAAGGUUCUUUUCACAGCUUUUAAACAGUAGUAAUAGUAAUAGCCAGAAGCGCAAAACUGAUUCUUCAACUUGUUUAUGGUAAUUCAUUUGUAUUUAGAUUUUGGAACAUGUAUGUAUGUAUUUUGUUCAUCAUUUUUAGCAAUAAAUUUGUUAUGUUUUUUUA